UGCAGUCGAGCGGAUGACGGGAGCUUGCUCCUUGAUUCAGCGGCGGACGGGUGAGUAAUGCCUAGGAAUCUGCCUGGUAGUGGGGGACAACGUUUCGAAAGGAACGCUAAUACCGCAUACGUCCUACGGGAGAAAGCAGGGGACCUUCGGGCCUUGCGCUAUCAGAUGAGCCUAGGUCGGAUUAGCUAGUUGGUGGGGUAAUGGCUCACCAAGGCGACGAUCCGUAACUGGUCUGAGAGGAUGAUCAGUCACACUGGAACUGAGACACGGUCCAGACUCCUACGGGAGGCAGCAGUGGGGAAUAUUGGACAAUGGGCGAAAGCCUGAUCCAGCCAUGCCGCGUGUGUGAAGAAGGUCUUCGGAUUGUAAAGCACUUUAAGUUGGGAGGAAGGGCAGUAAGCUAAUACCUUGCUGUUUUGACGUUACCGACAGAAUAAGCACCGGCUAACUCUGUGCCAGCAGCCGCGGUAAUACAGAGGGUGCAAGCGUUAAUCGGAAUUACUGGGCGUAAAGCGCGCGUAGGUGGUUUGUUAAGUUGGAUGUGAAAGCCCCGGGCUCAACCUGGGAACUGCAUCCAAAACUGGCAAGCUAGAGUACGGUAGAGGGUGGUGGAAUUUCCUGUGUAGCGGUGAAAUGCGUAGAUAUAGGAAGGAACACCAGUGGCGAAGGCGACCACCUGGACUGAUACUGACACUGAGGUGCGAAAGCGUGGGGAGCAAACAGGAUUAGAUACCCUGGUAGUCCACGCCGUAAACGAUGUCAACUAGCCGUUGGAAUCCUUGAGAUUUUAGUGGCGCAGCUAACGCAUUAAGUUGACCGCCUGGGGAGUACGGCCGCAAGGUUAAAACUCAAAUGAAUUGACGGGG
rnacentral:rRNA from 1 species